UACAGAGGUCUCAAGCGUUAUUCGGAUUCAUUGGGCGUAAAGGGUGCGUAGGUGGCGGGGCAAGUUUGGUGUGAAAUCCCGGGGCUCAACCUCGGAACUGCACUGAAUACUGCCUUGCUUGAGCACUGGAGAGGGAACUGGAAUUUACGGUGUAGCAGUGAAAUGCGUAGAUAUCGUAAGGAAGACCAGUGGCGAAGGCGAGUUCCUGGACAGUUGCUGACACUGAGGCACGAAGGCUAGGGGAGCAAAGCGGG
rnacentral:rRNA from 1 species